ACAGGUGGUGCAUGGUUGUCGUCAGCUCGUGUCGUGAGAUGUUGGGUUAAGUCCCGCAACGAGCGCAACCCCUGUGGUUAGUUGCCAUCAUUUAGUUGGGCACUCUAAGCAGACUGCCGUGGAUAACACGGAGGAAGGUGGGGAUGACGUCAAAUCAUCAUGCCCCUUAUGACCUGGGUUACACACGUGCUACAAUGGUCUGAACAGAGGGCUGCGAAACCGCAAGGUGAAGCCAAUCCCUUAAAACAGAUCUCAGUUCGGAUUGCAGGCUGAAACUCGCCUGCAUGAAGUUGGAGUUGCUAGUAAUCGCGGAUCAGAAUGCCGCGGUGAAUGCGUUCCCGGGUCUUGUACACACCGCCCGUCACACCACGAGAGUUGGCAACACCCGAAGUCAGUGAGACAACCGUAAGGAGUCAGCUGCCGAAGGUGGGGUCGGUAAUUGGGGUGAAGUCGUAACAAGGUAGCCGUAUCGGAAGGUGC
rnacentral:rRNA from 1 species